rnacentral:rRNA from 1 species
CUUUCGGGCGGGGAUUAGUGGCGAACGGGUGAGUAACACGUGGGCAAUCUGCCCUGCACUCUGGGACAAGCCCUGGAAACGGGGUCUAAUACCGGAUAUGACCGUCUGCCGCAUGGUGGAUGGUGUAAAGCUCCGGCGGUGCAGGAUGAGCCCGCGGCCUAUCAGCUUGUUGGUGAGGUAGUGGCUCACCAAGGCGACGACGGGUAGCCGGCCUGAGAGGGCGACCGGCCACACUGGGACUGAGACACGGCCCAGACUCCUACGGGAGGCAGCAGUGGGGAAUAUUGCACAAUGGGCGAAAGCCUGAUGCAGCGACGCCGCGUGAGGGAUGACGGCCUUCGGGUUGUAAACCUCUUUCAGCAGGGAAGAAGCGAAAGUGACGGUACCUGCAGAAGAAGCGCCGGCUAACUACGUGCCAGCAGCCGCGGUAAUACGUAGGGCGCAAGCGUUGUCCGGAAUUAUUGGGCGUAAAGAGCUCGUAGGCGGCUUGUCACGUCGGUUGUGAAAGCCCGGGGCUUAACCCCGGGUCUGCAGUCGAUACGGGCAGGCUAGAGUUCGGUAGGGGAGAUCGGAAUUCCUGGUGUAGCGGUGAAAUGCGCAGAUAUCAGGAGGAACACCGGUGGCGAAGGCGGAUCUCUGGGCCGAUACUGACGCUGAGGAG